rnacentral:rRNA from 1 species
UACGUAGGGGGCAAGCGUUGUCCGGAAUCAUUGGGCGUAAAGAGCGCGUAGGCGGUCCGGUAAGUCCGCUCUGAAAGUCCGGGGCUCAACCCCGGGAGGCGGGCGGAUACUGUCGGGCUAGAGUCCGGAAGAGGCGAGUGGAAUUCCUGGUGUAGUGGUGAAAUGCGCAGAUAUCAGGAGGAACACCAAUGGCGAAGGCAGAUCUCUGGGCCGUAACUGACGCUGAGGAGCGAAAGCGUGGGGAGCGAACAGG